rnacentral:rRNA from 1 species
UUCUCGAAUUUAGAAGAGCUAUUUAUUUUAAUGUCAUAAUUAUUUUUAAUAUGAAAUUAAAUGUUAAUAUAUCUAGUUUUCUAAGAUUAUUUAAUAUAUUUAUUUUUAAAGGGAUGAGCUUUUAAUAGGAUUAGAAAUUUUGUUAUUAUUUUUCUAUUAGAAUAUUUUCAAUAAUGAUAAAUGUAAUAAUGAUUAAAUUAGUAUAAGGUUAAUAAAAGGAAUUCGGCAAAAAUUUUCCGCCUGUUUAUUAAAAACAUGGCCUUUUGAUUAUAAUUUAAGGUUUAGCCUGCCCACUGAGGCCGCGGUAUUUUGACCGUGCAAAGGUAGCAUAAUAAUUAGUUUUUUAAUUGGAAGCUGGAAUGAAUGGUUGGAUGAGAAAAUAACUGUCUCUUUUUAAUAUAAUUUUAUUUUUAAGUAAGAAAGCUUAAAUUUUAUUAAAAGACGAGAAGACCCUAUAGAGUUUUAUUUUAGUUGGGGUGAUUGAAAAAUUAAUAAAACUUUUGAUUAUUAGAUUAAAUUACCUUAGGGAUAACAGCGUAAUUCUUUUUAGAGUUCUAAUUGAUAGAAGGGAUUGCGACCUCGAUGUUGGAUUAAAAUAAAAUCUGGUGCAGAAGCU